rnacentral:rRNA from 1 species
CGUGUAGGCGGUCAGGUAAGUGGAAUGUGAAAUGCCCCGGCUCACCCGGGGACCGGCAUCCCAAACUGCCUGGCUUGAGUAUGGGAGAGGAUGGAGGAAUUCCUGGUGUAGCGGUGAAAUGCGUAGAUAUCAGGAGGAACACCGGUGGCGAAGGCGUCCAUCUGGCCCAAUACUGACGCUGAGGCGCGAAAGCUAGGGGAGCAAACG